AGAAAGGACAAGAGGAAGAGAGGUCCCUUCCACAGGGAAGCCAUGGACGGAGGAGGAACACCAAAUGUUUUUGAAGGGCUUGAAAGAGCUUGGCAAAGGUAAAUGGCGAGAAAUUUCAGAGAUGUUUGUGAAGACUAGGACCACUACGCAGGUGGCUAGUCAUGCUCAGAAGCAUUUCCUUAGGCAGACCUCCACUGAUUCCAGGAGGAGUCGACGAAAGCCAAGCAUCUUUGACACCCCUUUGAAAGAUUCGGAUGCUAUUGCGCCAGCGAACGUAGACUACCAACCUCGCCCAAUUGAUCAUCCAGUUUAUGCUUAUGGUGCUUCAAGCUACAAUGGGAAACCAUACAUGGUAUGAUUCAUUUUCAUUUCUAUUUGUAUUUCUAAUAAUUCAUUAAUUUUUUUCUCCUGAUCGUUGCUUGCAAACAGCUUCAUAAUUCAGUACCAAUAUUAUGGUCCAAUGCUCUGAUAUUUCGCUCUGAAGAUAGUUUCUGGCACAGCCCUUCUAAGGAAACAAGAUCAUCAGACCCCUUAGGAGAAGAAGCUUCUAAUUAAUGUGUGGCAUGAAGCUUAUGUUUAGGUUUAAUUUUCAGCUUGGAAGCUGAGCUAAUAAUAUACAAGUUCAUGAAA
rnacentral:misc_RNA from 1 species